rnacentral:rRNA from 1 species
CUCCGGUUGAUCCCGCCGGACCCGACUGCUAUCAGAGUGGGACUAAGCCAUGCGAGUUAACGCAGUAAUGCGUGGCAUACGGCUCAGUAACACGUAGUCAACAUGCCCAGGGGACGUGGAUAACCUCGGGAAACUGAGGAUAAACCGCGAUAGGCCAAGAUUUCUGGAAUGGAUCAUGACUGAAACCUAUAUGGCCCCUGGAUUGGACUGCGGCCGAUCAGGCUGUUGGUGAGGUAAUGGCCCACCAAACCUGUAACCGGUACGGGCUCUGAGAGGAGGAGCCCGGAGAUGGGCACUGAGAAAAGGGCCCAGGCCCUAUGGGGCGCAGCAGGCGCGAAACCUCUGCAAUAGGCGAAAGCUUGACAGGGUUACUCUGAGUGACGUCCGUUAAGGACGUCUUUUGGCACCUCUAAAAAUGGUGCAGAAUAAGGGGUGGGCAAGUCUGGUGUCAGCCGCCGCGGUAAUACCAGCACCCCGAGUGGUCGGGACGAUUAUUGGGCCUAAAGCAUCCGUAGCCGGUUCUGCAAGUCUUCCGUUAAAUCCACCUGCUCAACAGAUGGGCCGCGGAGGAUACUACAGGGCUAGGAGGCGGGAGAGGCAAGCGGUACUCAGUGGGUAGGGGUAAAAUCCUCUGAUCCACUGAAGACCACCAGUGGCGAAGGCGGCUUGCCAGAACGCGCUCGACGGUGAGGGAUGAAAGCUGGGGGAGCAAACCGGAUUAGAUACCCGGGUAGUCCCAGCCGUAAACGAUGCAGACUCGGUGAUGGGUUGGCUUUGCGCCAACCCAGUGCCGCAGGGAAGCCGUUAAGUCUGCCGCCUGGGGAGUACGGUCGCAAGACUGAAACUUAAAGGAAUUGGCGGGGGAGCA